rnacentral:lncRNA from 1 species
AAGAGCAGAGCUUCUGUUAAGUUGUCUGAUAAAAAGAAGAAACAGAUAAGAAGAGAACAUGUGAGGAAGAUAGAAGAUGAGGGAACUGGUGUGGAUAAGUUUUGGGGAUACAUUGUGACUGAGAAGAAGCUGCAGUGUUGUAGGUAAGAAGCUGUGUGGUGUAAUUGUAAAUUGCUCCUGCAACGCAUCUUCCUUUCACUCCAUCUUCGUCCUUGCAGUCCCCUUUGAACCACAAACGAAAAGAACCAAAUAAGCAAAUAUGGUUGGAAUAUUCUCACUUCACGUUUGGAUGAUAAAUGGAAUAAAAGCUCUCACUAUUGUAUUGGUAGGAACAUGCAUCAGGAGUGUUGAUGUAAUGAAGAGGAGAAGACCAGUGGUAUCUAAACUUUACACGAUCAGCCCAAUCACACAAGCUUGAAAGGUCUCCUUCUGCAGAUUCAGGUAACAGCUCUUUCACCGCCUUUGCUGCAGUUUCAUCCAACCUAGCCUGUUCUUCUCUUUAGUAACUAGUUAUUUACAGAUAUUUUGGUUUAUACCCGAAUUCUGAAGAAGAAGAAGAUGAAAAUCAAAGACCUGAGCGAUUUUACAGACGAUGGUAUGACCUUCUAUUCCCCAGCCAUGGAUCUUUGGUGCUGCAUAAAGAAACCAAGCAGUGAUUAUCAUCACUACAUGUAACCCUCUCUGGUUUGCCAUUUAAGAGUAUUUGAAAUGUUAAUGUACUUUUGUUUCUUAGGAGAUAAUAGUAGAGUUUUCCAUUUGGCUCUUGUAUAUAAGGUGAUGAAGAAUGGAUACGUAUAAGGAAGUAAAUCCGGAGAUAUAUCUACGAAGAUGUGUAUUGGUGUGAAAGCUUUUUAAGGUCAAAAGAUGGAAAUGGGCAUGUUAUGAUUUGGUAGAUACGGAAUCUUUUUCUGUUUAGGAAACGAAUCGUGUGUGAAACCAAAAUGUGUUCACUUGUGAGUUGAGACAAAUGUUACAUACUUGUAUCCUCGUUUUCUUCAGUUUCAUCUGUUGUGAUCUUUGUGUAUUAAAGGCCAUUUAUAGGUUAAUUGAAAAGCAAAAUAUAUCAUUCAUUUA